UUCAAUGUAAUUUUUAACCUUAUUGUAAAUUUAAAAUACGGUCUAUGAAUUUGAGGAGAGGGGCGAAGUUCCUGGAGGGUUACUCUAUACUGAGGAAAAAGGAACGAACGAGAGCAGUCGUGCAUUCGAUAUAUCAGUAUGCGUUUCCGUGCCGCGUUAAACACACGUCUAUUUAUGUCUUAAAUGAAAACCGUCCGUUAACUAAACAGUCUAAAAUUGGCAUAAAGGGUAUGGAAUCGUUGCUGCAAAAAAAUAACGGAAGUGAAGAAUAUGCGCGCGAAAUAAAAAUACAAAAUGGUGAUUCGGAAAGUCCACAAAAUGGACGAAAUAAUGAUGAAAAAGUAGCGGCAAAAGUUAAGAAAAGCAGAAGUUUUCUGGAAUUGUCGUUGACACACAGCACGGCAAAUCCUGAUAUGAGUGUCGGUAGAAGAAAUUCUAUCAUGAAUGUUGGUAGAAGUAAUAGGAAAGUGCUGGUUCUUUACACAGGUGGAACGAUUGGAAUGGUCAAGAAUAGGCAAGGGGUCUUAAUACCACAAAAAGGGGCAUUUGAAAAUUUACUAAGAGGGUAUCCACAGUUGCACGACAAUGCGUGUUGGAGGCAAAAACUACAGGAGCCAGGAUUCGAUACACAUUUUCUGGUUUUGCCGGAAACAAAAGAGCUGGACGUGAGAAUUGUGUAUAAAAUUAAGGAAUAUAAGAAUUUAAUGGACUCUGCAAAUAUAACAGUGUCAGAUUGGCAAAAGAUAGCUAAAGAUAUAAUGAACAACUACCAAGAUUUCGACGGGUUCGUGGUGCUGCACGGCACGGACACGCUGGCGUACACCGCGUCUGCUCUCUCCUUCAUGUUCGAGAACAUCGGCAAGGGCGUCGUGCUCACCGGCUCGCAGAUACCAAUAUUUGAGCCUCGUAGCGAUGGCGCUGAUAACUUCGUGUCUUCGCUGUUGAUAGCCGGUGGGCUCAACAUUCCCGAAGUCACCGUCUUCUUUUCAAGCAAACUGUUUAGAGGAAAUAGGAGCAGAAAGAUCUCCUCGCAAAACUUAUACGCUUUCGAAUCUCCCAACUGCGUUCCAUUAGUGGAGGUAGGCAUCGACAUGGAAGUCAACAGGAAGGCAAUCUUCAAGCCCACAGUCAUAGACAAAUGCCAUCUGCAGUUGGAGAUGUCAGGGAAUGUUGGCCUUCUGAGGAUCUUCCCCAGUAUUAGCGCUGGAGUCAUCCGGGCGUUCUGUCAACCGCCUUUGGAAGGUGUAGUACUAGAAAGUUAUGGGUCAGGGAAUAUACCAUCAAAUCGUCCAGAUAUAAUAGCAGAAAUCCAAGCUGCCAUCAAGCGGGGAGUCAUCGUUGUCAACAUCACCCAGUGCGCCAACGGAGCUGUGUCGGUGCCGGUGUAUGAAACUGGACAGCUACUUGCUGAGUGCGGGGUGGUCUCCGGGUACGACAUGACCCCUGAAGCUGCUCUCACUAAACUGUCAUAUGUACUGUCCAAAACAGAGCUGACUUAUACGCAGAAAUGUGAGAUGAUGUCGUCUAAUAUAAGGGGUGAGCUGACGAGCACCUCGGGAUCUUUAGAUGUGGACAACACCCUGAUAGAUGCUCUGGCACAAAGCCUAAACAUACAGACGCCGAAAAAAUUAAUAGAAGUCACUGAGAAAGUGUUCAGCGCCUUGUUACUGUAUGCCAUUGAGCACGAUGACGAAAGAUCGAUUAAGAAAAUGUUGGAAAUGGGAGCUGAUGUAAAUGCUCAAAACACGGAAGGUAAAACCCCAUUGCAUGAGGCUAUAUCUAGAGGGAGCAUUUCCAUUAUAGAAUACUUACUCAAAAACGGAGCAAGUGUCCACGCAAAAUCCAAAGUCGGCGAAACACCUCUGCUAACAGCAAUCCACAAAGACGACGUAGUAGCCAUAGACCUGCUCCUCAAAUGUGGAGCUCAUCUCACUAACGUAGACCAGAAGUCAGUGGCUGACCUGGAUUCGUUUGCAGCGAGGAGCGGCUGCGUCCAGAAACUAGAGUCCUUGAGACUGGCUGGAGCGGACCUGGAUUUGGUGAAUGAGAUGGGUCAGACGCCGUUACAUCAGGCCGUCGUCUGCAACCACCCUGAGGUUGUGAAGUAUUUGUUAGACCACAGCGUCAAUACCAACAGUCAAGACAUCGUGGGGUUCACACCACUGGAUUACGCUAGAAAACUAAAUAGAAAUGAAAUGAUACAAAUGUUGGAGAAAUCUUGUUCAGUUUAAGGAGUGACGUAUUUUGAAUCUGAUGAUAUUUAAAAAUUUGCUGUCGACUGAAGUUAAGUUGAUCGAGAAUGGCUGAUGAUAAAGAAGAUUCUAGUAAGAAGGUUAAGAAGAAGAAUAAUUCUAAAUACAGUUACAGUUUCGGAGACACACACCCUAAAAGUAAAAAAUCAAAAGAUGAUGGAUCACCGACAUCAGGUAGAGGGCGUAGAAACAAUACUAGAGAUGGGAAACGAAACGCUAGAUCCCCUACUGGUUCAUC